GCCCAGCCGAAUGCGCACCCACCGCGCCGCCGCCCCAAGCGCUGCCUCCGCGGGGGGCGCUUCGCCGUCCUCACCUUUCCCGAGGGGCUCCGGGCUGGCGGGACCCGAGCGGCGCCGAUCCCGGAGCCGGCGAGAUUUGUGAUCUGGAAGAGGUGAAAAAUGGAUCACCUGAAAGCGCUCUCUACAUUAUUUUUGCUUGCUUUCCAGACUCAAAUACGUGCAGUGGCAGUGCAGUAGCAGAGAAAGUGAAGUUCUUAACAAGUGACCUUGAGAGGAUAAAAGAUCGUUUCUCAUCAUUGCUUCAAAUGUUUAUGCUCGGCGCGGCUCCAGUCGAAAGAGGAAUGGUACUGUGAGUCAAAAUGGAUGAAGUGCUGAGAAAAUGCCCAUGUGACUGAGACUGACAGUGCAGCUCAAUGGGAUGAGACCCACAGAGAAGCCUGUUUGACCAUACAGCUCUGUCAUCUUACAUGGCCUCAAGGAAGUUCUGGUGAUUAGCAUUAAGCAUGUGAAUAAACUCCACUGACUUCAAUGGAACCUCUUAAAUACUCAAGGUAACUGGGCUGAGACAGAACACACUGCAUGGAACAGUGUUGGUUUUCCAGUCUAACCCAAUCAAACGCAAGGAAAAAUGGAAGUGGCAACGGACUUGUCUGACCUCUGGUUAAAGGCUGAACUGCCUGACUUCCUUCAGUUGGUGGAAAGACUUCAUUUAAAGGGUCCCUUUGCCUUUUCCUGAGGAUGAUGUGAUUCUAUCUGUGCAUUCAGAAUUAUCCUGGCAAUGAUGAAAUACAAACCAAUGAGGAAAUAAUUUUGUUCAAUUUGAAAAAAGAACCCAGAGUUUUCAAACACAAGAAAGCUCCUACCAAUUUUCUGUGAAAACAGAUGGCUGUGGACAAGAGAAAGAUUGUGUAAGUGCCCUCCUGUCUCCUUCAGGAAAAAGGCUGUAGUGUAAGUUCCUAUGCUAUGACAAAAGCCUAUUCACACAGAAUUCCCCAGCCAUGAAGAAACAACACAUGCCCCAGCCACGAGGAGAGAUCGAGCAGAGCCCAAGCAGCCAUGAAACACAAACGUUUAGGAAACCAGGCCUUGCUGUUUCUGGCACUCAGGGAGCUCCUGGCUCAGACACUGCCUGACAGAUUCUGCAUGUUUUAAGAUGCAUCAUUUAAUAUAAAUAAUAACAGAAACACUGCAAAACAGGAAAGAUUUAAAGGAAGCUGUUUCAGCUGAAGAGAUGCCACUAGAUCAAACUUCUACUUUUGGCUGCCAGUUACAGGAAUAAAGUUGUCAGCAGCACAUCAGCUGUCGGGAUCAGGGCUCUGUGGUGAGAAUGCAGACACGAUGCCAGAGGCUGUUCUCAGUUUCAUCACUGUGCUUACAUGGAAGUCGGAGGGACCCACCUCCUUCAGUGGCAAGUUGCACCACCAGUGGCAACUACCCAGAUAUUUUUAUUCAUAAACUUCAGCAAACAUAAAAGAAAAUAAUCUUCCAAAGAACCAAGAUGUUUCAGAAACAUCAGUACGAUGGCUCCCAGCAAUACUCUAAGGAACCUCCAUCUGCUUAUGACAGAACAUUGUGCAGCAGAACAAACAGAAGCAACAAAUGGCAGGACAUGAUUCCUAUGAAAAAAUCUGGUUCCUACUUUUCUCCUGAAAAUGGCAGAGUAACAUCACAAAAACACCUUGGGCUUAUACUUAUUUUAAAGAGAGGAGAAUUUACCUGAGAGUUAUCUGGCUGAGUGGUCUUGUCUUCACAGUUUAAUAUCUGGCAAUUAUGUGUGGAUAUGACAGUUUUAAGCUUAACGCAAGUAGGCGGCAGCAACUGAGGUUUAACAGGAGGCUUUUCUUCUUUGCUUGACCUGAUGACACAUGCAAAAAGCUAAAAACUGCCAGGUCCACAGUAGGAUUUGAAGGAAUUAUGUGGGUGGAAUUUGAAUACAGGUUGCUCUGAACAGCUAUGGGUUGAGAAAGGCAGUAAAAGCACCAUAGAAGCAUGUAGAAGAGCUAGUGAAGAACAAUAAAGAGACGAAAGAUAUACUUGCAGUAACGCCUGGAGAAAAAGUAGAGUGAGCUUUUAGGUAGAAUACCAACUGAAGAAAGGCUUAGAAUACAAAAAAGGAGAAUGUUUCCCUUUCUGGUGAGCUGAGGAACAUGAGACAUAAUAUUGAUUCUGUAAAAAAUGUGCAGCAUCAAAAAUGCAUGAACUGAUCUUCACAUUCCUCUCCUAAAGAAAAUUAUCAAAACUCAGAUUACUGGUACUACAUUCUUGCAGUGUAAAAUAUUAUUUAAAACUUUUGGGAGCUACUAGUAAACUCUUUUUCUGGGGGUAACAUUCUUUUGAAGAUAAGACAAUGAGCAGACUAAGGUACAGAGGGCAGACCUGCAGCAACUUAGAUAUAGAUCAGUUUAAGUUGCUAUAAAAUUCACUCUUGGCCUUGGGAGUGCCAUAAUGUGGUACAGAGUGGUGCAGAACUAUUCUUAAAUGACAAGCCUUUGUUUAACUUCUGUCUAUGGGAAGGGCUUGUAGGAGAGCUCCUCCCUCCUAUAAUGGCUCUCACACAAAAUGAGGCAUAAAGAGCUUGAAGCAGAGAGCUCUGAGGCCAGUGGAUGUACUGGCUCUUCUGGCUCAGGAGGUGUAAACAGGCCAAGUGAGGUGGAGAUGCUGGAGCCAGCCACAGAACCAUGUCUGUAGCAAUGCAGCUGUCAUCCAGUCUGGUUUGGAGGUGUUCCAACCCUGUCUGAGAUCACUAUUGUGUCCCCCCAAGUAUUUACUAUCUAUAUUGCUAUAUCUAUACCUAAUUACAACAGGCAGUGCAGAAAAAAAGUCCUUUUCUGCAGGUAGAAGGCUCAAAGCCUUUAGAAGGAGAUGGCAACACAGUCUGCAUAUGCAAUUACAGAAUGCCAUUAUUGCAAAGUGAGGUCAGGCCCUUACUCAGGCAUUAGCACUGCCAUUUACUCACAAAAUGUCUCAUCAUAGUGUAGGGGUAUUUUCAACCAAGGACAGAGGCUAUCCUGGAGCUACAGAUUAAAAUCUAAGAGAAUUCACUCAGAGUGAUGAUCAGUUUUCUGUGAAGUUUUUUAAAGAGCUUAAAGUACUCCUUUUUUCCCCUCUGCAGUUAUCAGUGCUCAGAGGGUCAGACAAACGCCUCCACAGUGCAGUGGAAAUAACUGGAGUUAUGUAACUCCAGUGGAAUGGAGUGGUUCUGAUUACUGUACUACUAAGAACAAGGUAGGUGCCAGAGGAAAUGUGCUCUAGCAUGGCUGCUGAAUGGCUGAGAGGAAACAGCCUCAAGUUGUGCCAGGGGAGGUUUAGAUUGGAUGUGAGAAAAAAUUUCUUCACUUUAAGGAUGGUCAGGCAUUGGAAUAAGAUGCCCAGGAAAGUGGUGGAAUCACUAUGCCUGGAAGUGUUCAAAGAGCAUGUGGAUGUGGUACUCAGGGAUGAGGUUUACUGGGGAACCCAGUGGUGCUGGGCUAAGAGUUGGAUUCAGGGAUCUUGGAGAUCUUUUCCAACCUUAGUGAUUCUGUGAUUCUACUACUGACUGCCAGAGCAAUAAGUCAGGUUUGGUUUUCCUAUGCAGAUGCCAUAGCUGGGUUUGGCUAAUGCAGGUUCUCAGACACAGGUGUCAUUAAUCACACUAAUGAGGAACAUGACCUUAGCAACCAAGAAAAUGUCUUCUCACUGCUGAGAAACUCAAGUUUCAGUUGAGACUUCUGCAAUGGAAAGUUGCCUGCCUGCAGUUUUUGACAAUGGUGUUUCAAAUUAUUACAGCUUUGGUGCAGAACUUAUAUCAAAUUUGAGCAUACUCUAGCCUUUUAUCAUUGAUUCUCCUUUCCAGUAGGAAAGCAAUCAAGCCACAGACACCUCUUUUCAUUUGUGAAGGGAAAGAAGAAAUAUAUGUUGUGCAAGUUCGUUUCAGUGCUUUUUUCAUUCUCCAAGGAGCAAUGCAGAACUAUCCCAGCCUGAGGCAGUUCAGACCUGUUUGAAGGAACAGCAGUUAAAAUCACAGGCCUGAGAUUAGGAAAGAUCCCGACGUCUGUGUGGGUGCCACUGCCCUCUCCUGGGCACAGCCCGCCAGGCCGGCAGCUGCUUCCCCCUCCUAGGCUGUGCAGUGAGAUAAUGGAAUAUGCAGUGUGUGUAUUUUUAGAAACUAAAGAGGUAAAUUCUGUCCUCUGCUCUAAAUAUAAAACUGAUCCUGCAUGCCCACCACCAGAUUUUUAAAUUCUUCAGCUUGGACCAACCAUAAUCCAACUGCAGGGCCCAAAGUAGAUCCCAGAAGGAAGCUGGUACUUGCAGAGCAGGGUGUCCUGGAGGAAGGAGCCACUCUGAUCCCCAGAUUUGAUGUGAACACAGACUUCAGCUAUGUGCAAUUACUAACUGGGAGGAGCAUCACUGCAGCAAUAGUAAACUCUUCCUUUACACAACUCUGUGUAAUGAUGCAAAAAAUUUAAAAUCUUGGUUUGAUUGCAACAACAUUUCUGUUGGUGGAACUAGAGGCUUCUAGCUACUAAAGGCUUCUAGCUACAAUGCCCAGAGCUGUAGACAAACACUACAAACCUCAGCAAACUUUUUCAGACAUCAAUAACUACACCAUGAGCUGGAAAGGGAGGGAGAGUGUAACAAUAAUAAAAAUCUAUACGUAUGCAGGGCAUGGAUAUGCCCCUGCUCCCUCUGAAGUCAGUCACUGCUCUGCUCUUGACUUUAGGGAGUCAAGGCUGACAUGAAGGUUCCAAACAGUUUAAAUUUGGAUUGCAAUAUAGGAAAACAGAAAGAAUGCCUGCUAUCCAACCUCAGACCCAGCAGUUAGUAACAAGAGAGGACAUUCAUAUUUUGCAUUUUAAAAGUAUUAGAAAAAAAUCACAGAAUCACAGAAUCGUUAGGGUUGGAGGGGAUCUCUGGAGAUCAUCCAGUCCUACCCCCCUGCCAAGGCAGGGUCACCCAGACCAGGUGACACAGGAAUGUGUCCAGCUGGGUUUUGAACAUCUCUGUGGACAGGGAGACUCCACAAACUCCCUGGGCAGCCUGUUCCAGUGCUCUGCCACCCUCAACAAGAAGUUAUUCCUCAUGCUGAGGUGAAAGUCCUUGUGUUUUAGUUUAAGGCCCUUGCUCCUCAUCCUGUCACUGGGCACCACUGAAAAGGGCCUGGAACUGUUCUCUUGGCACCACCCUUCAAGAUUUUUGAACGUAUGGAUGAGAUCUCCUCUCAGUCUGCUUUUCUCUAGACUAAACAGGCCCUGCUCUUGUGGGCUCCCCUCCCAGGAGAGAUGCUCCAGACCCCAUAUCAUCUCUGUGGCCUCCACUGGACCCUCUCCAGUAGCUCCUUGUCUCUCUUGUGCUGAGGAGUCCAGAACUGGGCACAGCAUUUCAGAUGUGGCUUCACCAGAGCUGAAUAGAGGGGGAGGAACACCUCCCUUGACUAGCUGGCCACACUCUUCCCCACACACCCAAGAUCCCCCUGGCCCUCCUGGCCCCCAGGCCCACUGCUGGUUCAUGGUCACCUUGUCAUCUACCAACAGUUCAAGUCCCUCUCUGCAGAGCUACUCCUUAGUAGGUCAGCCCCCAGCCCAUGCUGCUUCUUGGGUUACUCUUCCCCAGAUGCAGGACCCUACACUUUGUAUCAUCAGCAAACUUGCUGCAAAUCCCAAACAGAAUGAAAGUAACACAAGUGUCAUCAUUUUCAUGCUACAUCUCUUUACUCUCCCCUCUUGGUUUUCCCCCUCAGGGCAAUUCUGAGAACGGUUCUCCUGAGCAGAACCAGAAACAUUACUGUUCUCAGGAAAAUUAGGUUCAAUUUUUUAAAUAUUUACUAAUUCACAUACUAAUAUUUGCUAAUGUACAGGAGGGUAAAUGAAGGAUUCUCCUAAUGAACUGAAAUAUAUUUUCUCACAAAUUUGAUUUGUAAACAUGGCCCUAAGAGAUCACAGAUCAAGGAGCAAUGGAGAGUAGCACAAGAAAGAAGAAAAUGUAUUAACAAGGUUCUAUAGAGCCCUAUAAGAAAACAGACAGAAUGACCAAAUACAGAGUGUUUUAACCUCUACUCUGUGUGGCUGUCUGAAAAGAGAAAACAAAACCACACUGACUAUACUGAACCUCCAGCUCCCACAUGAUUGCAUACUUACUGGGCUGCUAUCUUAAUGUAUUUCUUUAACAGCUGAACACGCUUGCUGAGUUGAGAGCAAAGACAAAUCUCGGUGACCACCCAGAACUGAAUUUCAUUGAAUCUUCUUAAAAACAAGUCCAGGUUUGCUGUGGUCUUUUUAAAAUUGUGCCUUCCAAAAGUGUGAUAGAUCAAUUCCAGCUAGGAAAGAGAAAACAGUUUGGAAUUCUUUUUGAAGUUGCAUUUCUUCAAGGAAAGAGACUAAGACUGACCAGGUAAGUAUCUAGCCUGAAAUUUGCUCUGCAGUUUAGUUUACAUUUAUAGCUGCACAGAUGACAAAGACUCAGGUUACAAAUCCAGUAUACAAUAGCUGAGGCAUAGUAAAAGUGCCACUACAGAUUAUAUAUAAACAGCUUAAUACCACAAAACAAACAAAAGUAAUUCAACAAGCAGCACAUGUCCAGAGGAAGCCUAACUUUCAAAACUUGUAGGUGGCUUUAUUGUAGAAUUUUUGAAAAUCAAGCUUAGAGGUGGUUUUGGAAAUAAUGCACAAAGCUACAAUGUACAGUUAAACACUUUUUAAUAGAUUCUAACCUGCUGAAUAUAUAGAUCCUCAUACCUCAUGCACACAAUUGAAAAGCUCCCAGUCGUAAAUUGUCAUCUGAUGUGCUAAGUCUUUGGAACUCAUCAGUUCAAAUGUUCCUACUGUACCAGUAGAUGGUCCUUCUUGUUCUGGCAAUGGUGCCUACAAACAAGAAAAUAUUUGAAAAUAACUGAAAUUGUAGUAAAACUGAAAUUUGCUUUUAAACACAGGUAUUGGGGUAAUGAGUAAAACCAGUAUCCAGUAUGCACAGGAUAUUCAGGAAAAUUCUGAAAGCUCUUCAGAGACACUAUAAGAAAAUAAAUUAGACUGUUCUCAGUGUGUUAUUUUUAACAUUGUUCUAAAAUUUGAAUCUAUAAUACAUGUUGUGCUAACUAAAGCAUGUGUGUUUGUUUAGGAGCAUAGGUCUUUCCAAAAAACUUUUAUGUUUCCUUUUUCACAUACACAAAUAACUAGGCCACCAAGGACAAGCCAAAUACUUUUACAUAUUCCUGAUUCUAAUGAUGAGAAUUGCUACAUCUAGAAUGCUUCCGAAAUCUGCAGUGAUUGCAGGAUCCUCUGAUCACUUAUAAAAUAAACCUCGUACGUUCUCUGACAGUACACAAAUUUGAUGCACAAUUUGUGAUUGCAAAUUCCUGGCUAGGCUGUUUAAAAUGAAACACAGUCUUAUGAGAAAGAACCAAGUACAAACCAUUUCUGAAAGGCAUUUCCAUGCCACCCAAUAAAUGAGACGUGAUCUAUGAUUCUGCACACAGGUGAAGUAUUAAAGAGAGAUUUAAAACACGGCUUGAGAUCAAGUCAGAUGUGAAGUGGUCUGUUGUACCUAUCAGGGUGAAGUGUUUGAACCAGCGCUGCUAAGAUACUGCCCAGCAACCCCCCGGCAAACUGGAGGGUGAAACAGCCGCAGAGGCGCCGUGAACGCGCAGGUCACCGGUGCAGCUCCCAGGAGAGGGCGGCAGAGCUCACACACGAGCUUCCCAACUCUGAGCUCACCGCCUUUGUUAAACGCGGAAUGAUGGAGCACGGAAUUGUCAACAGGCUGCUUUCCCAGCACAAACUCAGUGGAGUCUGCCAGACUGACAGACCAUAUUUAGAUGCUGCAAUAUAAGAAAUGAGCCUACUAAAUGAAUCCUAUUUUAUAUAAGAGUAAUAUACUAGCAAGAGAAAUAAGUCUGACUGGAUUAAUGCAUCAAAACACUUUCUCAGUGGCACAUAGUGUGUAGGGGUUUUACUGUUGUAUGAAUUCUUGCUUUGUACUCUAGGGAAAACUUUCCUUUUAAUUAUCAUCAUCAUACAAACUAACUAAAAAAAACUUAACUAAAUCACAAACAUUAUCACCUUAAAAACUUCAUCUAUAAUUUAAAAAAAUAGUAGAAAAGUAUUCUCUAAAAAAUCCAGAGCAGCCAUUAAUAUUACAAAAACCUGCAGAUUGCUUUGAAUUGGGAUUUGCACAAACACAAAGUUUCUUUAGUUUAUGACAACAUAUGAAAUAAAAGUACGGUAGCUUUGUGUAGAAAA